GUGUCAGCAGCCGCGGUAAUACGUAAGUGGCGAGCGUUAUCCGGAAUCACUGGGCGUAAAGCGUUCGUAGGCGGUGCGGCAAGUUGGAAUUGAAAUCCCGGGGCUCAACUCCGGAUCCGGUUCCAAAACUGCCGCGCUGGAGCAGAUCAGAGGGCAGUGGAAUUCCCGGUGUAGCGGUAAUAUGCGUAGAUAUCGGGAGGAACACCAGUGGCGAAGGCGGCUGCCUGGGGUCUUGCUGACGCUGAGGAACGAAAGCCAGGGGAGCGAACGGGAUUAGAUACCCCGGUAGUCC
rnacentral:rRNA from 1 species